UUCUGCCUGGAGAUGGAAAGUGUAUGACAGAAAUCCACAAACGCGUAUAUAGCAGCUGAUGCUUUUCAUGGCUGGAAUCGCCAUGCUAGGCGAUAUUUCCCCCGCUGCUUGGCCAGGGAAAACAUUGCUUGUGAUGUGGAUGAGGUGCUGUGGCCAGACCGAAACAGAAGAGAGGAUGCAGCAUAGGUUUUUUUUAAUUUUUUUUAUUACGGUAUUAUUUUAUGUAACUGUAUACAGUAAAUUCUUCUGUUGUUUUGUAUGUAGACCACUGUAUGUGCAACUUUGUGUUGGUUUGGAAUGGGAUGUACA